UACGUAGGGGGCGAGCGUUGCCCGGAUUUAUUGGGCGUAAAGAGCUCGUAGGCGGCUCGUUGCGUCGGCUGUGAAAACCCACAGCUUAACUGUGGGCCUGCAGCCGAUACGGGCGAGCUAGAGUUCGGUAGGGGAGACUGGAAUUCCUGGUGUAGCGGUGAAAUGCGCAGAUAUCAGGAGGAACACCGGUGGCGAAGGCGGGUCUCUGGGCCGAUACUGACGCUGAGGAGCGAAAGCGUGGGGAGCGAACAGG
rnacentral:rRNA from 1 species